rnacentral:tRNA from 1 species
GCCGCUGUGGCUUAGAGGCAGAGCAGCUGAUUCGUAAUCAGCGGGUCGGGGGUUCAAAUCCCUCCAGCGGCU